rnacentral:rRNA from 1 species
GACGAACGCUGGCGGCGUGCUUAACACAUGCAAGUCGAACGGUGACGGUGGGAGCUUGCUCCUACCUGAUCAGUGGCGAACGGGUGAGUAACACGUGAGUAACCUGCCCCAGACUCUGGA